GGCCGAGCCGCCACCGCGGCCGGAGCUGUCCCUUAGCCAGACCCGGCGAGACACGAGCGGCGGGAGGGAGGCGGUGGCGCGCCCGGCCCCGCCCGCCCGACCAAGCGUCGGACGCGGCCCGGCGCCGAGCCAUGGAGCCUGAGCCAGUGGAGGACUGUGUGCAGAGCACUCUCGCCGCCCUGUAUCCACCCUUUGAGGCAACAGCCCCUACCCUGUUGGGCCAGGUGUUCCAGGUGGUGGAAAGGACUUAUCGGGAGGACGCACUGAGGUACACGCUGGACUUCCUGGUACCAGCCAAGCACCUGCUUGCCAAGGUCCAGCAGGAAGCCUGUGCCCAGUACAGUGGAUUCCUCUUCUUCCAUGAGGGGUGGCCGCUCUGCCUGCAUGAACAGGUGGUGGUGCAGCUAGCAGCCCUACCCUGGCAACUGCUGCGCCCAGGAGACUUCUAUCUGCAAGUGGUGCCCUCAGCUGCCCAGGCACCACGACUAGCACUCAAGUGUCUGGCCCCUGGGGGUGGGCGGGUGCAGGAGAUUCCUGUGCCCAAUGAGGCCUGUGCCUACCUAUUCACACCUGAGUGGCUACAAGGCAUCAACAAGGACCGGCCAACAGGUCGCCUCAGUACCUGCCUACUGUCUGCACCCUCAGGGAUUCAGCGGCUGCCCUGGGCUGAGCUCAUCUGCCCACGAUUUGUGCACAAAGAGGGCCUCAUGGUCGGACAUCAGCCAAGUACGCUGCCCCCAGAACUGCCCUCUGGACCUCCAGGGCUUCCCAGCCCUCCACUUCCUGAGGAGGCGCUGGGUACCCGGAGUCCUGGGGAUGGGCACAAUGCCCCUGUGGAAGGACCUGAGGGUGAGUACGUGGAGCUGUUGGAGGUGACGCUGCCUGUGAGGGGGAGCCCAGCAGAUGCUGAAGGCUCCCUGGGCCCCUCCAGAGUACGGACAGUACCCACUCGCAAGGGUGCUGGAGGGAAGGGCCGCCACCGGAGACACCGGGCGUGGGUGCACCAGAAGGGCCUGGGACCUCGGGACCAGGAUGGAGCACGCCCACCCGGCGAGGGGAGCAGCACUGGAGCCUCCCCUGAGUCUCCCCCAGGAGCUGAGGCUGUCCCAGAGGCAGCAGUCUUAGAGGUGUCUGAGCCCCCAGCAGAGGCCGUGGGAGAAGCCUCUGAAUCUUGCCCCAUGAGGCCCGGGGAGCUUAGAGGAGGAGGAGGAGGCCAGGGAGCUGAAGGACCACCUGGUACCCCUCGGAGAACAGGCAAAGGAAACAGAAGAAAGAAGCGAGCUGCAGGCAGAGGGGCUCUUAGCCGAGGAGGGGACAGUGCCCCACUGAGCCCUGGGGAUAAGGAAGAGGCCAGCCACCAAGAAGCCCUUGGCAAUCUGCCCUCACCAAGUGAGCACAAGCUUCCAGAAUGCAGCCUGGUUAAGGAGGAAUAUGAAGACUCAGGGAAGCCAGACUCUGAGCCCAAAGAGUUCAAAACAGCAGGCGAGAAAGAGCCUCAGCCCUCUGAAGCCUGUGGGCCUACAGAAGAGGGUGCCAGAGAGAGAGAGCAGGAGGGGCCAGGCCUCGUGUGUAUGGCAGGACACGCAGGCCCAGAAGGCCUCCUGUCUGACAGUCCAACACCUCUGCUGGAGACUGUGCAGGAAGGAAAAGCGGACAGCAUUCCAGAAGAGGCCCUUCCAGUCUCCAUCUCUGAUGACCCUGAUGUGGCUUGGGACUUGAUGGCAUCUGGAUUCUUCAUCCUGACAGGAGGGGUGGACCAGAGUGGGCGAGCUCUGCUGACCAUUACCCCACCGUGCCCUCCUGAGGAGCCCCCACCCUCCCGAGACAUGCUGAACACAACUCUUCAUUACCUCCACUCACUGCUCAGGCCUGAUCUACAGACACUGGGGCUCUCCGUCCUGCUGGACCUUCGCCAGGCACCUUCACUGCCUCCAGCACUCAUUACUGUCUUGAGCCAACUUCAGGACUCAGGAGAUCCUCCCCUCGUUCAGCGGCUGCUGAUUCUCACUCACGAUGACCUUCCAAGUGAACUCUGUGGAUUUCAGGGUGCUGAGGUGCUGUCAGAGAAUGAUCUGAAAAGAGUGACCACGCCAGAGGAGCUGCAGUGGGAGUUAGGAGGUCACAGGGACCCCUCUCCCAGUCACUGGGUAGAGAUACACCAGGAAGUGGUAAGGCUAUGCCGCCUGUGCCAAGGUGUGUUGGGCUCAGUACGGCAGGCCAUUGAGGAGCUGGAGGGAGCAGCAGAGCCAGAGGAAGAGGAGGCAGUGGGAAUGCCCAAGCCCCUGCAGAAGGUGCUGGCAGAUCCCCGGCUGACGGCACUGCAGAGGGAUGGGGGGGCCAUCCUGAUGAGGCUGCGCUCCACUCACAGCAGCAAACUGGAGGGCCAAGGCCCAGCUACACUGUAUCAGGAAGUGGACGAGGCCAUUCACCAGCUCGUGCGCCUCUCCAACCUGCACGUGCAGCAUCAAGAGCAGCGGCAGUGCCUGCGGCGACUCCAGCAGGUGUUGCAGUGGCUCUCGGGCCCAGGGGAGGAACAGCUGGCAAGCUUUGCUGUGCCCGGGGACACCUUGUCUGCCCUGCAGGAGACAGAGCUGCGAUUCCGGGCUUUCAGCGCUGAGGUCCAGGAGCGCCUGGCCCAGGCACGGGAGGCCCUGGCUCUGGAGGAGAAUGCCACCUCCCAGAAGGUGCUGGAUAUCUUUGAACAGCGGCUGGAACAGGUUGAGAGUGGCCUCCAUCGGGCCCUGCGGCUACAGCGCUUCUUCCAGCAGGCACAUGAAUGGGUGGAUGAGGGCUUUGCUCGACUGGCAGGAGCUGGGCCGGGUCGGGAGGCUGUGCUGGCUGCACUGGCCCUGCGGCGGGCCCCAGAGCCCAGUGCCGGCACCUUCCAGGAGAUGCGGGCCCUGGCCCUGGACCUGGGCAACCCAGCAGCCCUGCGAGAAUGGGGCCGCUGCCGGGCCCGCUGCCAAGAGCUGGAGAGGAGGAUUCAGCAACACCUGGGAGAGGAGGCGAGCCCACGGGGCUACCGACGACGGCGGGCAGACAGUGCCAGCAGUGGAGGGGCCCAGUGGGGCCCCCACAGCCCCUCACCCAGCCUCAGCUCCUUGCUGCUCCCCAGCAGCCCUGGGCCACGGGCAGCCCCAUCCCAUUGCUCCUUGGCCCCAUGUGGAGAGGACUAUGAGGAGGAAGGCCCUGAGCUGGCUCCAGAAGCAGAGGGCAGGCCCCCACGGGCUGUGCUGAUUCGAGGCCUGGAGGUCACCAGCACUGAGGUGGUAGACAGGACGUGCUCACCGCGGGAACACGUGCUGCUGGGCCGGGCUGGGGGGCCAGACGGACCCUGGGGAGUAGGCACCCCCCGGAUGGAGCGCAAGCGGAGCAUCAGUGCCCAGCAGCGUCUGGUGUCUGAGCUGAUUGCCUGUGAACAAGAUUAUGUGGCCACCUUGAGUGAACCAGUGCCACCCCCUGGGCCUGAGCUGACUCCUGAACUUCGGGGCACUUGGGCUGCUGCCCUGAGUGCCCGGGAAAGGCUUCGCAGCUUCCACCGGACACACUUUCUGCGGGAGCUUCAGGGCUGCGCCACCCACCCCCUACGCAUUGGGGCCUGCUUCCUUCGCCAUGGGGACCAGUUCAGCCUUUAUGCACAGUACGUGAAGCACCGACACAAACUGGAGAAUGGUCUGGCUGUGCUCAGUCCCUCAAGCAAGGGCUCCAUGGAGGCUGGACCUUACCUGCCCCGAGCCCUGCAACAGCCUCUGGAACAGCUGGCUCGGUAUGGGCGGCUCCUGGAGGAGCUCCUGAGGGAAGCUGGGCCUGAGCUGAGUUCUGAGCGCCAGGCCCUUGGGGCUGCUGUACAGCUGCUUCGGGAACAAGAGGCCCGUGGCAGAGACCUGCUGGCUGUGGAGGCGGUGCGUGGCUGUGAGAUAGAUCUGAAGGAGCAGGGACAGCUCUUGCAUCGAGACCCCUUCACUGUCAUCUGUGGCCGAAAGAAGUGCCUUCGCCAUGUCUUUCUCUUUGAGCAUCUCCUCCUGUUCAGCAAGCUCAAGGGCCCUGAAGGAGGGUCAGAGAUGUUUGUUUACAAGCAGGCCUUUAAGACUGCUGACAUGGGGCUGACAGAAAACAUCGGGGACAGCGGACUCUGCUUCGAGUUGUGGUUUCGGCGGCGGCGUGCACGAGAGGCAUAUACUCUGCAGGCAACCUCACCAGAGAUCAAACUCAAGUGGACAAGUUCUAUUGCCCAGCUGCUGUGGAGACAGGCAGCCCACAACAAGGAGCUCCGAGUGCAGCAGAUGGUGUCCAUGGGCAUUGGGAAUAAACCCUUCCUGGACAUCAAAGCCCUUGGGGAGCGGACGCUGAGUGCCCUGCUCACUGGAAGAGGUGAGGGCCAUGGUGCUGGGGGGUGGCCCCCAGGAGUGAAGACCUUGACAAUGAGGAUACAAAGGGGUGGUGUGGUGGAAAGUCAGGAAGGGCAUCUCGUUCCCAAAUCAGUGGGACUGGCUGGGAGGCCCUCUGUGAGACUGAGGGUCAUUCCAGGGAGCCAAGAGGGCUUUCCCACACCAGCACCCCACCCCCCACUCCCCACUCUCUGCAGCCGCCCGCACCCGGGCCUCCGUGGCCGUGUCAUCCUUUGAGCAUGCCGGCCCCUCCCUUCCCGGCCUUUCGCCGGGAGCCUGCUCCCUGCCUGCCCGCGUCGAGGAGGAGGCCUGGGAUCUGGACGUCAAGCAAAUUUCCCUGGCCCCAGAAACACUUGACUCCUCUGGAGAUGUGUCCCCAGGACCAAGAAACAGCCCCAGCCUGCAACCCCCCAACCCUGGGAGCAGCACUCCCACCCUGGCCAGUCGAGGGAUCUUAGGGCUAUCCCGGCAGAGCCAUGCUCGAGCCCUGAGUGACCCCACCACGCCUCUGUGACCUGGAGAAGAUCCAGAACUUGCCUGCAGCUUCUCCUCUCAGCACACUUUGGGCUGGGAUGGCAGUGGGGCAUAAUGGAGCACUGGGCGAUCACUGAAUUUCUUCCCUCUGCUUCCUGGACACAGAGGAGGUCUAAGGACCAGAGUAUUGCCCUGCCACCACUAUCUCUAGUCCCCCUAGCUUGGUGCCUUCUCCUGCAGGAGCCAGAGCAGCCACAUUGCUUGCCUUCAUACCCUGGAGGUGGGGAAGUUAUCCCUCUUCCAGUGCUUUCCCAUCCUGGGCCACUGUAUCCAGGACAUCACUCCCAUGCCAGCCCUCCCUGGCAGCCCAUGUUCUCCUCUUUUCUCACCCCUUGACUUUCCCUGAGAAGAAUCAUCUGUGCCAGGUCAACCGGAGUUCCCGGUGACUCCAUUCUGAGGUGUCACAAGAAAUGAAGCUAUGCAAACUAUAAUAGGAGGGUGCAACAGGGAACUGUAGACUUUAUAUAUGUAAUUACUGUUAUUAUAAUACUAUUGUUAUAUUAAAUGUAUUUACUCACACUUUGCCU